rnacentral:rRNA from 1 species
UACGGAGGGUGCAAGCGUUUAUCCGGAUUUACUGGGUUUAAAGGGUGCGUAGGUGGGUCUGUAAGUCAGUGGUGAAAUCUCCGAGCUUAACUCGGAAACUGCCAUUGAUACUAUAGAUCUUGAAUUAUCUGGAGGUGAGCGGAAUAUGUCAUGUAGCGGUGAAAUGCUUAGAUAUGACAUAGAACACCAAUUGCGAAGGCAGCUCACUACGGAUUGAUUGACGCUGAGGCACGAGAGCGUGGGGAUCAAACAGG